AUUGAACGCUGGCGGCAUGCUUUACACAUGCAAGUCGAACGGUAGAGGGGCAACCCUUGAGAGUGGCGGACGGGUGAGUAACGCGUAGGAACGUGUCUUGGGGUGGGGGAUAACGCUGGGAAACUGGCGCUAAUACCGCAUGUCUGCUGCGGCAGAAAGCCUUUGGGUGCCCUGAGAGCGGCCUGCGUCCGAUUAGCUAGUUGGUGGGGUAAGGGCUUACCAAGGCGACGAUCGGUAGCUGGUCUGAGAGGACGAUCAGCCACACUGGGACUGAGACACGGCCCAGACCCCUACGGGAGGCAGCAGUGGGGAAUAUUGGACAAUGGGCGCAAGCCUGAUCCAGCCAUGCCGCGUGAGUGACGAAGGUCUUCGGAUUGUAAAGCUCUUUUGGCGGGGAAGAUAAUGACGGUACCCGCAGAAUAAGCCCCGGCUAACUUCGUGCCAGCAGCCGCUGUAACAC
rnacentral:rRNA from 1 species